rnacentral:sRNA from 2 species
CCGCACCGCUGCAUCGUUUCCUCUCCCAAUAAACAGGAGGAUCUUUUUCUUUUCACCUCAUUUAGGCCGUUUGUAUUUUUCUAUAUACUUUGAGAGACGAUGGUCAUCCUCGCAGCGUCGAUAUGUACUCGAGGGGGCAAAGCGGUACUCUCGCGCCAGUUCCGUGAAAUCGCCCGCUCUCGGAUAGAAUCGCUAUUGGCAUCAUUCCCGAAGUUAGCAGAUUCCGGCACGCAGCACACCAUCGUCGAACAAGAUAAUGUCCGAUUCGUCUACCAGCCAUUGGACGAAUUAUACAUUGUCCUCAUCACAAACAAGCAGUCCAACAUCCUCCAAGAUAUAGACAGCUUGCAUAUUUUCGCCCAGGUCGUCACAAGUAUUUGCAAAAGUCUCGAUGAACGGGAGAUAUUGCGGAAUGCAUUCGAGCUCCUUAGCGCCUUCGAUGAGCUUGUCACUUUGGGCUACCGGGAAAACCUCUCUUUGUCACAGAUAAAGACGUUCCUUGAGAUGGAAAGUCACGAAGAGAGAGUGCAGGAGAUAAUUGAAAGGAACAAGGAACUUGAAGCGAGCGAAGCGCGAAAGCGCAAGGCAAAACAAUUGGAGAUGCAGCGCAAAGAAGCCGCCCGCAGCGGUCGUGGCGUGGCCCCACGAGCCCCAUCUUAUCCAGUCUAUACUCAGCCGACUCGGCCAACACCUUCUGAGACCCUCGACUCAUAUGAGGCGGAGAAAAAGAAGACUUUUGCUAAGCCAAUGGCUGUUAGGGGCAAGGGAAUGCAGCUUGGGAAGAAAUCGAAAGCUACCGAUAUCUAUGAGAAAGUUCGAAGCGACCUCGGCCCUGACGCUGAAGACAGACCACUGGUUUCCCCGGCCCCUGCACAGGCUUUUUCAGAAAAUGUGGCUCAACCGCGCAGCUCAUUAUCUGUCGACCGCGAGCCUAUCCAUGUUACUGUGGCUGAAACCAUUUCCGCCAAGCUUUCCCGCGAUGGCUCAGUGAAGUCAUGGGAGAUAAAAGGCGAUCUUCAACUGCGUAUCACGGACGAUACAUUUACAAAAGUGAAGCUUGGAUUAACAGCCAAUCCUACUCAUGGGGCUGUUUUCCGUACCCAUCCUAAUGUCGACAAAGCGCUAUUUACAAACUCCAAAGUCAUUCAACUCCGUGACCCUUCAAAGAGUUUCCCUCACAAUAUUUCAAUUGGAGUCCUUCGGUGGCGCGUCACUGGCACAGACAACACAGACGUUCUUCCAAUUACGUUUACCGUUUGGGUAAACAGAGGCACUCAAUCAAGCACUGUUACCAUUGAGUACGAGCUCAAUGGUUCGGACCCACUACGAGACGUUGUUGUAACAAUCCCUUUCGGUGCUGUCGAGCCUACCGUGACGAAUUAUGACGCUGUUUAUGAAGUGACUGGAGACAGCCUGGACUGGAACAUUGGUACUGUCAACGAAUCGAAUGUCUCUGGCAGUUUCGAGUUUGAGUCUGAGGACCCCAACAGUGACGAGAAUGAGUUUUUCCCGAUGACCGUCAAGUUCCAAAAAGAAAGCCCCUUUGUGGAUGUUGAUGUGCAGUCAGUAUCGCUUAUGGAAAUGGAUGGGCAGGCUGUGAAUUUCUCGAAGGACUUCAAGACAGUUGCGGAUGGAUAUGCGGUUGAAUAAUUAAUUUUGUUUGCGGUUGUAAUUUUCUUUCAAAAUUUUAGAAUAUUUAUUUCUGCUUCUCUUGUUUUCCUUUCCCUCCAGCUAUGCAACGCUAUUCAAUUCCAUAUGACAAAAAAACGUUUCAACCACCUUGCCGGCUGCGAAUACAACUUUCCUCCUUAUUCUUUAUCUUAUUUUUCAUUCCACGAUAGGAACUGGGGAUGAUUAAUUUCACAAAAGGGUAUAUAGAAAGGAAGUUUUAGGACGAAAGCGAAAGCAAUUCGCGGUGCAAAUCUGUACUCUAUUCAUUUAGCUUCAACCAGACUACUCCUGCUAUGGGAACAGCUUGAACGGGGUUUUGGUACUUUGGGAUAUUUCAAGGCUUGUGAGCAAGCCUGUGGAACUUGCCUUGCUGGACUAUCAUGGAUAGAAUUCUAUCUCAAUAUGUCUCCGUUUGUGUGGUUAUGCUGGUGAGUAAGGGACUCAGGAACUCAAGGGGCACUUCACAAUCGGGCUAUAUGUCUUGAACUUCAGGUUUCUUUUUCUUUUUAGAGCGGACAUCUUCGUAGUUGAGAGAGAAAAAGCCAGAAGAUCAGGUGCAUUGUUCUUGGUUGAGGAAUGCUAUGCAUUCAAUAGUUACAUAAGGAUAAAAUUCACCAGGUGUUCAUGGUUUUGCUGGGUUU